AAUACCAAUUUUUUCGCCUGAAAUUUCGUAACGCGAUCUGCGCGUGGUAGGACUUGAGAUAAUAUUAUGUUGUUUGCCCGUGUGCGGUAUCUCGAAAACGUCUGCGUAGGUAGACAACGGUACUGGUAUUUUGCUUUUCCCUCCUAAAAACGCCUGAGACCUGUAGGAAAAAAAAACAGGGUACAUAAAUUAAUGUGGACAAGCAGACGUCGUAUUUAGCAUGGACGUUGCGUUGUGCAAUCAGGUCGAAAAAUCCUAUUGAAUCAAGGUCGGUGAAGGGGUGGACUAGAUGUGAAAAAAUAAGAUCUCGGUUCCCAUUGUCGUCUUUAAGGUCGAAAACAUCAAUUUUUUUUUUCUUCUUUAAGAAUGCAUAAACGUUAUUUCAAUCAUUGUUGUUGGGGAAAAAUAUAAUACGAGUAUACUUACGAGGUACUUAUACGGUUUUCCCCUCUGUUUGCCGCAACGUGUUCUCGAAUAUAAAACUAAACGUCAACGUAACCGCCGAAGUGGAUUGUUUUAAUUGUAAUCUAUCAAAAUACCAUAUUAAUGUACUGCAACCGCGUAUUCGUUUGACGUAGGCCAUAAUUUCUAUGCGACUGAGCACACGUGUAACACUUGAACUGUACAAUGCUGUUUUUUUUUUUUUU